rnacentral:rRNA from 1 species
AUUGAACGCUGGCGGCAUGCCUUACACAUGCAAGUCGAACGGCAGCACGGGGGCAACCCUGGUGGCGAGUGGCGAACGGGUGAGUAAUACAUCGGAAUGUACCCAGUAGUGGGGGGAUAACUAGUCGAAAGAUUAGCUAAUACCGCAUACGCACUAUGGUGGAAAGCGGGGGAUCGCAAGACCUCGCGCUAUUGGAGCAGCCGAUGUCCGAUUAGGUAGUUGGUGGGGUAAAAAGCCUACCAAGCCUGCGAUCGGUAACUGGUCUGAGAGGACGACCAGUCACACUGGGACUGAGACACGGCCCAGACUCCUACGGGAGGCAGCAGUGGGGAAUUUUGGACAAUGGGGGAAACCCUGAUCCAGCAAUGCCGCGUGUGUGACGAAGGCC